GAAAAUGCAUUAACAAAAUUAGUCGGUCCAUUCACUUUUUUUUACUUGUGUAUGAUUAAGAACAUCUCUAAUGAGUUAUUAUUGAAAAAUUGAGUAUAAAAAAAUAAGAGCAUUUAAGAAUCAUUAUUGGAGAUGAUUUUGAAAGAAGUUUAUUUCCAAUUGAGAUUUUAGUUCAUAAAAAUAUUUCCAAGUUAAAGUUUUGAAAAAAAAUAUUUUCGGAUGGAGGACUUAAGACCGAACACAAUCCAAUUUAUUCUGGUGUCACGCUCCUAAAGAUCUUUUACGCUUACGUCUGAUCGGUUGCGACUUGCACGUUAGCAUUCCGACGUUCAAGUCAGUAGAGUCACAAUAAAACCAGCGUGAAUGUUAUUAGAUCAAAAGUUUCAUACCUGGCUAAUUAUCCUUGUAUUUAUAGGUAUUAGACUCGAUUAAUAGGCAUUAACUACCCGUAAUCGUUAAUCCAUCAAUCCGUAAGAUUCGCUCACUAAAGAUCGUUACCAACGUACCCGAGAGAUUCGCUUCCUUGUCCCAACAACUAUUUCACCAUACCUGCGUUCCCUGUUCACUCGACCCGACCAACCGGUCUAACGGCCACACCGAUCAACUCCCAACUUCUCCCGACCGACUUAUUUUUAUCCGGCCAACCAUUCAUCUUUACAUCGCCACUUUCUUUUACGUUACUACGCCCCACUUAACCGGUCACCCCC
rnacentral:lncRNA from 1 species